GACGAACGCUGGCGGCGUGCUUAACACAUGCAAGUCGAACGGAAAGGCCCUGCUUUUGUGGGGUGCUCGAGUGGCGAACGGGUGAGUAACACGUGAGUAACCUGCCCUUGACUUUGGGAUAACUUCAGGAAACUGGGGCUAAUACCGGAUAGGAGCUCCUGCUGCAUGGUGGGGGUUGGAAAGUUUCGGCGGUUGGGGAUGGACUCGCGGCUUAUCAGCUUGUUGGUGGGGUAGUGGCUUACCAAGGCUUUGACGGGUAGCCGGCCUGAGAGGGCGACCGGCCACAUUGGGACUGAGAUACGGCCCAGACUCCUACGGGAGGCAGCAGUGGGGAAUAUUGCACAAUGGGCGGAAGCCUGAUGCAGCAACGCCGCGUGCGGGAUGACGGCCUUCGGGUUGUAAACCGCUUUCGCCUGUGACGAAGCGUGAGUGACGGUAAUGGGUAAAGAAGCACCGGCUAACUACGUGCCAGCAGCCGCGGUGAUACGUAGGGUGCGAGCGUUGUCCGGAUUUAUUAGGCGUAAAGGGCUCGUAGGUGGUUGAUCGCGUCGGAAGUGUAAUCUUGGGGCUUAACCCUGAGCGUGCUUUCGAUACGGGUUGACUUGAGGAAGGUAGGGGAGAAUGGAAUUCCUGGUGGAGCGGUGGAAUGCGCAGAUAUCAGGAGGAACACCAGUGGCGAAGGCGGUUCUCUGGGCCUUUCCUGACGCUGAGGAGCGAAAGCGUGGGGAGCGAACAGGCUUAGAUACCCUGGUAGUCCACGCUGUAAACGGUGGGUACUAGGUGUGGGGUCCAUUCCACGGGUUCCGUGCCGUAGCUAACGCUUUAAGUACCCCGCCUGGGGAGUACGGCCGCAAGGCUAAAACUCAAAGGAAUUGACGGGGCCCCGCACAAGCGGCGGAGCAUGCGGAUUAAUUCGAUGCAACGCGUAGAACCUUACCUGGGUUUGACAUGGAUCGGGAGUGCUCAGAGAUGGGUGUGCCUCUUUUGGGGUCGGUUCACAGGUGGUGCAUGGCUGUCGUCAGCUCGUGUCGUGAGAUGUUGGGUUAAGUCCCGCAACGAGCGCAACCCUUGUUCACUGUUGCCAGCACGUUAUGGUGGGGACUCAGUGGAGACCGCCGGGGUCAACUCGGAGGAAGGUGGGGAUGACGUCAAGUCAUCAUGCCCCUUAUGUCCAGGGCUUCACGCAUGCUACAAUGGCUGGUACAGAGAGUGGCGAGCCUGUGAGGGUGAGCGAAUCUCGGAAAGCCGGUCUCAGUUCGGAUUGGGGUCUGCAACUCGACCUCAUGAAGUCGGAGUCGCUAGUAAUCGCAGAUCAGCAACGCUGCGGUGAAUACGUUCCCGGGGCU
rnacentral:rRNA from 1 species